rnacentral:tRNA from 1 species
CACCUCGUGAUUGCAAGAAGGCUUCAGACGUGCCCCGUCCCUCGAGAGCACGGAACAC